CGUCUCAGUUCGGACUGCAGGCUGCAACCCGCCUGCACGAAGCUGGAAUCGCUAGUAAUCGCGAAUCAGAAUGUCGCGGUGAAUACGUUCCCGGGUCUUGUACACACCGCCCGUCACACCAUGGGAGUCAGUAACGCCCGAAGUCAGUGACCUAACCGAGAGGGAGGAGCUGCCGAAGGCGGGACGGAUAACUGGGGUGAAGUCGUAACAAGGUACC
rnacentral:rRNA from 1 species